rnacentral:rRNA from 1 species
AGGUGGUGCAUGGUUGUCGUCAGCUCGUGUCGUGAGAUGUUGGUUAAGUCCCGCAACGAGCGCAACCCCUACGUUUAGUUGCUAACGCGUGAAGGCGAGCACUCUAGACGAACUGCCGUUGACAAAACGGAGGAAGGUGGAAUGACGUCAAAUCAUCAUGCCCCUUAUGUUCUGGGCUACACACGUGCUACAAUGGCCGGUACAGACGGACGCAAAGCCGCGAGGUGGAGCAAAUCCUAAAAAGCCGGUCUCAGUUCGGAUUGCAGGCUGCAAUUCGCCUGCAUGAAGUCGGAAUCGCUAGUAAUCGCAGGUCAGCAUACUGCGGUGAAUACGUUCCCGGGCCUU